AACGAACGCUGGCGGCAUGCUUUACACAUGCAAGUCGAACGGUAACAGGGAGCUCGCUCCGCUGACGAGUGGCGAACGGGUGAGUAAUGUAUCGGAACGUACCCAAGAGUGGGGGAUAACGUAGCGAAAGUUACGCUAAUACCGCAUACGAUCCAAGGAUGAAAGCAGGGGACCUUCGGGCCUUGUGCUCCUGGAGCGGCCGAUAUCUGAUUAGCUAGUUGGUGAGGUAAAGGCUCACCAAGGCGACGAUCAGUAGCUGGUCUGAGAGGACCACCAGCCACACUGGGACUGAGACACGGCCCAGACUCCUACGGGAGGCAGCAGUGGGGAAUUUUGGACAAUGGGGGCAACCCUGAUCCAGCAAUGCCGCGUGAGUGAAGAAGGCCUUCGGGUUGUAAAGCUCUUUUGUCAGGGAAGAAACGGUUUCGGCUAAUAUCCGGAGCUAAUGACGGUACCUGAAGAAUAAGCACCGGCUAACUACGUGCCAGCCGCCGCCGUAAUAC
rnacentral:rRNA from 1 species